CUGGCGACCGGCGCACGGGUGAGUAACACGUAUCCAACCUGCCCUUUACUCGGGAUAGCCUUUCGAAAGAAAGAUUAAUACCCGAUGGCAUAAUGAUUCCGCAUGGUUUGAUUAUUAAAGGAUUCCGGUAAAGGAUGGGGAUGCAUUCCAUUAGGUUGUUGGUGAGGUAACGGCUCACCAAGCCUUCGAUGGAUAGGGGUUCUGAGAGGAAGGUCCCCCACAUUGGAACUGAGACACGGUCCAA
rnacentral:rRNA from 1 species